rnacentral:rRNA from 1 species
GAUUGAGUUUGAUCCUGGCUCAGGACGAACGCUGGCGGCGUGCUUAACACAUGCAAGUCGAACGGAAAGGCCCUUCGGGGUACUCGAGUGGCGAACGGGUGAGUAACACGUGGGUGAUCUGCCCUGCACUUUGGGAUAAGCCUGGGAAACUGGGUCUAAUACCGGAUAUACCCUGCUGGUCGCAUGGCCUGGUGGGGGAAAGCUUUUGCGGUGUGGGAUGGGCCCGCGGCCUAUCAGCUUGUUGGUGAGGUUACGGCUCACCAAGGCGACGACGGGUAGCCGGCCUGAGAGGGUGACCGGCCACACUGGGACUGAGAUACGGCCCAGACUCCUACGGGAGGCAGCAGUGGGGAAUAUUGCACAAUGGGCGCAAGCCUGAUGCAGCGACGCCGCGUGGGGGAUGACGGCCUUCGGGUUGUAAACCUCUUUCAGUGGGGACGAAGCGCAAGUGACGGUACCUACAGAAGAAGGACCGGCCAACUACGUGCCAGCAGCCGCGGUAAAA